CUCUGUGACUCCUACGGGAGGCAGCAGUGGGGAAUAUUGCACAAUGGGGGAAACCCUGAUGCAGCCAUGUCCGCGUGUGUGAAGAAGGCCUUCGGGUUGUAAAGCACUUUCAGUAGGGAGGAAGGUAGUGUAGUUAACACCUGCAUUAUUUGACGUUUACCUACAGAAGAAGCACCGGCUAACUCCGUGCCAGCAGCCGCGGUAAUACGGAGGGUGCGAGCGUUAAUCGGAAUUACUGGGCGUAAAGCGCAUGCAGGCGGCCUGUUAAGUCAGAUGUGAAAGCCCGGGGCUUAACCUCGGAAUUGCAUUUGAAACUGGCAGGCUAGAGUCUUGUAGAGGGGGUAGAAUUUCAGGUGUAGCGGUGAAAUGCGUAGAGAUCUGAAGGAAUACCAGUGGCGAAGGCGGCCCCCUGGACAAAGACUGACGCUCAGAUGCGAAAGCGUGGGGAGCAAACAGGAUUAGAUACCCUGGUAG
rnacentral:rRNA from 1 species